ACAACCAAAACUUACAUAGGCUUUUUAUAAUUUUAUUGGGCCUAUGUAAUUGAGUUUUAGCCAGUGGAAUAUGUCCAAGUGACAUUUGCCACUUCUAGGUCUGGCACAUUAACACUUGAUGUAUUACAUUUCAGACUCUGUUAUCAUUCUGCAGUGUCUUUGGCGAUCUGUUGUUUAAGAUCUAUAUGCACUGGGUACUGUCGCUUGCCUUCCAUUCCUACCCUUACUAAUCAGAUUCCUAUUACAGCUACUCCUGUCCUUGAUUCAUUUUGUAUAUUAGAUGUGUGUGUGUUCAUGUGCAUGCAUGCACCCUCAUAUGUAGGUGUAUAUGGGAGUGGUGGUAAAGACAGAUAGGAUAUUUCUUCAGUUCAUGGGAUUUUAUUUCAGGAGAAUUUGAUCAUUCACGUAUUGGAGAAGAUGACACAUUUCUUGAAUGUCUUUGGCUUUGAGCUGAAUGCACUAACUAGAAGGGACUUCAGAUUGCCCUCCUUAGGGGGAGAUAAGUAUAUUCUUCAUAUACAGGUAAGAGUGAAAUGAUAGAAGAAUGUUCCUCCUUUCCUUUUCUUCCUGGACAACAGAUCAAAUAUUUCUCAGAUCUUUUACAGUUGAAUUGGAGUCACAUGGACAGGUAUGAUCUUAAAAUAUAAAAAAUUAUUUUAAAAUUACAUGCUAAAAUUUUAUAAAAACAAAUUCUAAAACUAACUCAAAUGGAAGCAUUUGAUUAAAAAAAUUAUCCAAAAGAGUUUGAAUUUUAUAUGAAACAGGAUAGAAGAUGAAAAAGCUAAAGAAACAAAAUAUAAAGAAAUUAUGGCUGGGGACGGUGGCUCACACCUGUAAUCCCAGCACUUUGGGAGGCUGAGGUGGGAGGAUUGAUUGAGGCUAGGAGUUUGAGACCUGUUAUUUGAGGCACAUGGGAAGGAAAGUUUUCUUUGAGAUAUUCCAUAUUUUAUAAUAUUCUUUAAGAGAUUUACAGAGUUCCUUGAGUGAAUUGUUGGUUUGUUCUUAAUACUGAAUUUCCUAUUCAAAUUUAUUUAGAAGUUCAUUUCUUACAGUGAUCUCAUCUCCUACUAAGAUAUUCUUCAAGGUAGGUUCUUGGCCAGUUUCUCAAUGACAGAUUUUUUAAAAUAUUGUUAAUCUUUUUAUUAAUAUGAGAACAUAAUUGUUCCAGAUCUGGAGGCCAUCCUUUAAGCUUCUUGCAACAGUCUGGGAGCAGAGUCUACUCGCCACUGGGUAGUGGGCCAUGGACACCCCAGUCUCCACCAGAAGUUCGGGAUUGCAAAAUGGGACUCUGGCAGCAAAUUUCAAACUGUAUGCCAGACCUGGCCCUUUGCAGAAUUAAAAAAAUCCAGAUGUGGUGGCUCACACCUGUAAUCCCUGGACUUUGGGAGGCUGAGGCCGGGGAAUCACCUGAGGUCAAGGGUUUGAAACCAGCCUGGCCAACAUGACGAAAACUCAUCUCUACUAAAAUAAAAAAAUUAGCCAGGAGUGACAGCGGGUGCCUGCAAUCCCAGCUACUUGGGAGGCUGAUGGAGGAGAAUCACCUGAACCCAGGAGGUGGAGGUUGCAGUGGGCCAAGAUUGUACCACUGCACUCCUGUCUGGGCAACAGAGUCAGACUGUCA